UCGUAAUACGGUCACAUCGCCACGUGCAUUCUUUCACUUCUUUUUUUCAUUCAAAAUGGACGGUCGAGUUUUCUGCUUCGAUUCUCAAUUAAAGUUUAAUAAAAGGGAUGAUGUGCGGUAGCAGGACAAUCAUUGAAUAUAGCAAUGGAAAAAAACAGUUUUGGUGGUUUUCUGCCAAAUUUAUCCACACGUGUCCGAAAGUAAGAGAUUCAAAUUAAAAGUGGAUUGAAAGGCACGUGGUUUACGAGAAGAUAGACGGAAUUGAGUUCAAAUAAACCGAAAUAAGGGCUUUACGAAUUCCUGAUAAAUGAAAAAUUUGAGAAUUAAAUUCAGGUCUUGGUUGGACUGCUAAUUAAGAAUGGAAAAAUUAGAAAAUUGUUCACAAAAAUGACCAAAAUAGGCCAUCCACAAAAACAUCUGGAUCUCUUCUCAGGUGUGUAUUAAAUUUGGAACAAUGUCUACCAAUGGAAACCAAAACUGAGGGUAAAUUCGGAAAUAUAAGAAAUAGUUGUAUUGCGCAUUGAAAAUCGGUUUUGGGCUAUGUAGUUUAAAGGCAAGGCAAAGGGAAAUGCGGAAAUAUUCAUCGAAUUUCAUGAAUAAAUGAUAUUUGCACUCUAUAUCAAACUACGAAGGAAUUUUGGUGAUUAAAAAAGAUUUGCAUAUAUACAAAAAUAACAAAUUCCACCAAGUGGAGGAUGGCUUAAAAACCUUUAAGAUAUUCACAGUGGUAACAGUACACAAACAGCAAUUGAUUUUAAGUUCAAGGAUUACAUCAUUUGCUGUACCCAAAUUGGGUUGGAUUAUAAUGAAUUGCAAGAUGAAGAUUACCCGUGGAAGUAUUUUUUUCCAUUAACUAUAUAAAGGCUUUCACAAUUAAUGGAACGACUUAUCGAGUGGCUGAAACCUUCAUGAAUGUGGAAAUGUUAAAAAGGUAAUACCUGACAUCUGGCAUCGAUUGUGAUUCUGCUAAACUAUGGUGGUAUCAUACGGAUUGUGAAGAUCGAUCACCAAACGACAACAAAAAUUAAACUGCUGUAGUCAUUUGAAGCAAUAAAAACUCGAAAGAUACUGUUUAAUAUAA